UGCAUCGAAUUGAGAACGCAGCGAAAUGCGAUACGUAGUGUGAAUUGCAGAAUUCCGCGAAUCAUCGAGUCUUUGAACGCAAGUUGCGCCCGAGGCUCGUCCGAGGGCAUUUCCGUUAGAGCGUCACC
rnacentral:rRNA from 1 species